rnacentral:rRNA from 1 species
GAUGAACGCUGGCGGCGUGCCUAAUACAUGCAAGUCGAGCGAACGGACGAGAAGCUUGCUUCUCUGAUGUUAGCGGCGGACGGGUGAGUAACACGUGGAUACCCUACCUAUAAGACUGGGAUAACUUCGGGAAACCGGAGCUAAUACCGGAUAAUAUUUUGAACCGCAUGGUUCAAAAGUGAAAGACGGUCUUGCUGUCACUUAUAGAUGUAUCCGCGCUGCAUUAGCUAGUUGGUAAGGUAACGGCUUACCAAGGCAACGAUGCAUAGCCGACCUGAGAGGGUGAUCGGCCACACUGGAACUGAGACACGGUCCAGACUCCUACGGGAGGCAGCAGUAGGGAAUCUUCGGCAAUGGGCGAAAGCCUGACGGAGCAACGCCGCGUGAGUGAUGAAGGUCUUCGGAUCGUAAAACUCUGUUAUUAGGGAAGAACAGAUGUGUAAGUAACUGUGCACAUCUUGACGGUACCUAAUCAGAAAGCCACGGCUAACUACGUG